GUGAAUCAUCAAAUUUUUGAACGCAAAUUGCACUCCCUGGUAUUCCGGGGAGUAUGCCUGUUUGAGGGUCGUUAGAAUAAAAAAUCGAUGCGUCGCUCUUUUUUUUAAGGGUGAUCGCGUCGGAAUUGAGCCGUCUUUCAAAUGUUAAUUCAUGUCAAAGUGGCUUGAAAUUCAUCCAUCCGGUACGAUUGAAGCGUAUUUAAGAUCAAUUUUGAUUGGAACGGUGCGUUAACGUCCCUCUCAUGGUGUUAC
rnacentral:misc_RNA from 1 species